rnacentral:lncRNA from 1 species
CCGGCCGCGCCUACAGCGAGUACCGCCUCUACGGCUUCUCCUCCUGGCUCCGCCACUACGUCACCGAUUCCGACCGCUGGGACCACAUCCGCUCCUGCCUCACCGCCUCCGACGUCUGCCAGAAGCUCGGCCGCGACCAGCCCUACCUCACCGCCGAUCAGUACUUCCAGACCCAUCUCUCCCCUCUCCAGGCAAGGACCAAUCCUGACCUAGAUCCCCCUUUCCCUUUCCAAGCAGCGUCACCACCAAAAACGCCCCCGCUCUUCGAGUAAAUUACAUGGAUUGCCAUGGUUGGUGCUCGUUAGCUGGCAGUUGUUCGGUUCCUUCUUGCAUAGCUUUCGCCGUCACCUUUUUAUUUUUAUUUUUUAUUGUUUUUUCAUAAAUAUUCUUCUAAAAAUUUAAAUUUAUAUAAAUAUUUUUUAAAAAAUUUAUAUUUAUUUUUUACUGUUUCUCAAUA